UAUUGUAUCGUCUCUCUAAUCAUCAAUCUUCACCAGGAACAGCAGGCAGAAUGUUGAAAGUUUUAGCGUUGAUUUCUCUUGUCUCACUCUGUGCCGGGCAGGUAUGGUUGGCAGGUUUUAAUGCCUUGGAUACAAACACGGAUCAAUCUAUCAGCCAGGCUGAAUUUGAUGUUGCCAUAGUAGGAGUUGAUACUAAUGGUGAUGGGAAGGUACCAGAAGCAGAAUGGAUGGCCGCAUGGAAAGGUAUUACUGCAGGUAAUCACAACCAAGCUGUAACAGAUAAAGCUGGUAAAAACAUCUUUGAUUAUAAUGAUAAAAAUAAAGAUGGUGUGUUGAGUAUAGCUGAGUUAAAGGGAAUGUACUCUGUUAUCGAUACCAACGGUGACGGUAAAUCAACUUCAAUUGAAUUUGCUCACGCUUGGCAAGACACUCACAGACCAAUAACUGGAUAAUACGUCAUCAGUUUCCUGUUGGUAUUAAAACUUUUAUGAAGUGAUAAAAUAAAUAUUCACCAAUCU